rnacentral:rRNA from 1 species
UACGAAGGGGACUAGCGUUGUUCGGAAUUACUGGCGUAAAGCGCACGUAGGCGGAUUUGUAAGUCAGGGGUGAAAUCCCGGAGCUCAACUCCGGAACUGCCUUUGAUACUGGAGAGCUUGAGUUCGGGAGAGGUGAGUGGAACUGCGAGUGUAGAGGUGAAAUUCGUAGAUAUUCGCAAGAACACCAGUGGCGAAGGCGGCUCACUGGCCCGAUACUGACGCUGAGGUGCGAAAGCGUGGGGAGCAAACAGG